GGUGGGCAACAGCUUCAGGCCGGAGCACAGGGUGCUGCUGAACGCUUUCGCCGCAACUUUCGAGCUAAGUGACGAUGGCCGCUUUGAGGUGUGGAAUGCCAUGACUCGAGGCCAGCACUGUGACACAUGGUCUUAUGUGCUGAUACCGGCAGCCCAGCACGGGCAGUUCACUGUGGACCACGGUGUGGGCAGGAGCUGGUUGCUGCCUCCCGGGACGCUGGACCAGUUCAUCUGCCUGGGCAGAGCUCAGGGCCUCUCGGAUGACAACAUUGUCUUCCCAGAUGUGACUGGUAACAUGGCUCACCUGCAGGCAUGCUGGGCAGUAGGCACGGGGCCCGCAGGAAUGAGUUUGGUUGACCCUAGAGGAGCUGGACCCAGUGUCUACCCAGGGAGCUCAGCCCCAGCCUGCGCUCAGGGGUUUCCAGGCUCCUGGGUCCCUGUGCUCAACC
rnacentral:sRNA from 1 species